rnacentral:rRNA from 1 species
GGUGACCUGCGGAAGGAUCAUUACUGAGUGAGGGCCCUCUGGGUCCAACCUCCCACCCGUGUUUAUUGUACCUUGUUGCUUCGGUGCGCCCGCCUCACGGCCGCCGGGGGGCUUCUGCCCCCGGGUCCGCGCGCACCGGAGACACUAUUGAACUCUGUCUGAAGAUUGCAGUCUGAGCAUAAACUAAAUAAGUUAAAACUUUCAACAACGGAUCUCUUGGUUCCGGCAUCGAUGAAGAACGCAGCGAAAUGCGAUAACUAAUGUGAAUUGCAGAAUUCAGUGAAUCAUCGAGUCUUUGAACGCACAUUGCGCCCCCUGGUAUUCCGGGGGGCAUGCCUGUCCGAGCGUCAUUGCUGCCCUCAAGCACGGCUUGUGUGUUGGGCUCCGUCCCCCCGGGGACGGGUCCGAAAGGCAGCGGCGGCACCGAGUCCGGUCCUCGAGCGUAUGGGGCUUUGUCACCCGCUCUGUAGGCCCGGCCGGCGCCAGCCGACAACCAAUCAUCCUUUUUUCAGGUUGACCUCGGAUCAGGUAGGGAUACCCGCUGAACUUAAGCAUAUCAAUAAGCGGAGGAAAAGAAACCAACAGGGAUUACCUCAGUAACGGCGAGUGAAGCGGUAAGAGCUCAAAUUUGAAAGCUGGCUCCUUCGGGGUCCGCAUUGUAAUUUGCAGAGGAUGUUUCGGGAGCAGCCCCCAUCUAAGUGUCCUGGAACGGACCGUCAUAGAGGGUGAGAAUCCCGUAUGGGAUGGGGUGUCUGCGCCCAUGUGAAACUCCUUCGACGAGUCGAGUUGUUUGGGAA